rnacentral:rRNA from 1 species
UACGAAGGGGGCUAGCGUUGCUCGGAAUCACUGGGCGUAAAGCGCACGUAGGCGGAUCUUUAAGUCAGAGGUGAAAUCCCAAGGCUCAACCUUGGAACUGCCUUUGAUACUGGGGAUCUUGAGUCCGGGAGAGGUGAGUGGAACUGCGAGUGUAGAGGUGAAAUUCGUAGAUAUUCGCAAGAACACCAGUGGCGAAGGCGGCUCACUGGCCCAUAACUGACGCUGAGGCACGAAAGCGUGGGGAGCAAACAGG